rnacentral:rRNA from 1 species
UACGUAGGAGGCAAACGUUGUUCGGAUUUACUGGGCGUAAAGGGUGAGUAGGCGGAAUUACAAGUCUUUGGUGAAAGACUGAGGCUUAACCUCAGGAACGCCUUAGAUACUGUAGUUCUUGAGUACGUUAGAGGGUGGUAGAAUUCCUGGUGUAAGGGUGAAAUCUGUAGAUAUCAGGAGGAAUACCAAUGGCGAAGGCAGCCACCUGGGACGUCACUGACGCUGAAUCACGAAAGCCGGAGUAGCAAACGGG